UCCUACGGGGGGCAGCAGUGGGGAAUAUUGCCCAAUGGGGGAAACCCUGAUGCAGCGACGCCGCGUGAGUGAAGAAGUAUUUCGGUAUGUAAAGCUCUAUCAGCAGGGAAGAAAAAAGACGGUACCUGACUAAGAAGCCCCGGCUAACUACGUGCCAGCAGCCGCGGUAAUACGUAGGGGGCAAGCGUUAUCCGGAUUUACUGGGGGUAAAGGGAGCGUAGACGGCUGUGCAAGUCUGAAGUGAAAGCCCAGGGCUCAACCCUGGGACUGCUUUGAAAACUGUGGAG
rnacentral:rRNA from 1 species